rnacentral:lncRNA from 1 species
ACAGUUGUUUCUGUGCUCCCUCUUAGUGCUCUGAAAUCUUGGGCUCCUCUCCCUCUUGAUUGCUGGCUGAAAAUCUUGGCUUGGCACUCCCAAGCUGCACACCACAGCUCUGGGACAAUCUCAAGCUUUAUAUCCCUUCCCAUCUUGGAGGAAUCAGAGGAAGGAAAGUUAGCAGUGGUUGUGACAGAGGGUUUUUCACUUGUCUCUUGGAGCUCCACCUCAGAAAGACGCAGAGCUGCUAUCAAUCAGUAUGAUUGGCCUAGGAUGGGGCAGCUGUGCUGUGAGACCAACCCAUGGCAGACAUCCAGCUGAUCACACUGUGUCCACAUAAGGCAAAUGCUGAGCUGUAAUCCAUCAAGCUGUUUCCGCAUAGAGAAAAGGCCAUAUGAGUACACAGCCAGAAGGUGUCUGCCUACAAGACAAAGAGGGAAAACUUACCUGAAACCAACCCUGAUGGAUAUUGGAUUUCUAAGCUCCAGAACUGUGAGAAAAUUAAUUUUAUGUGCUUUAAGACACUCAAUUUGUGGUAUUCUGUUAUGGCAGCCUAUGCUAGUCAAUUUGCAUUACCAUAAAGCAACACCUGAGAGUGGGUAAAUUAUAAAGAAAAGAAGUUGAAUCGGCUCAUGGUUCUGCAGGCAGUACAGAAGCAUAGUGCUGGCAAUUGCCCCUGGCAAGGGGCUCAGGAAGCUUACAAACAUGGCAGAAGGCAAAGGGAAGCCAACAUAUCACACGUAAGCUCAGGAAGCUUACAAACAUGGCAGAAGGCAAAGGGAAGCCAACAUAUCACGUGGCGAGAAAGACAGAGAAGCGGUAGGUCCCAGACUCUUUUAAACAACAAGACCUCAUGUGAACUGAGGGGAAACUCACUUUCACCAAGGAGAUGGUGCUAAACCACUAAUGAGGGAUCUGUCCCAUGAGCCAAUCACCUCCCACCAAGACCUACCUCCAAUUUUGGAAAUUAUAUUUCAACAUGAGAUUUGGAGGGGACAAACAUCCAAACCAUAUCCCAGCCUGAGCAGACUAACAGAGUCUCUGAAUAAAUCUAUGAAAAUGACUAGAGUAUUAUUUUGUUGAGUGAUUUCUUCUUGUAUUAGGAUUGGUCUCCUUGAAAAUAUUUUUCUCAUAUCUGUUAUAAUAAAAUACUGAGAAUCAUACUAAUUCUACUCUAAACUUAGAUAUUUAAGAGGGUUGGAUUUGACUGAUUGCUCUGAUGUUGCUAACAUAGUCAAAGACUUUUCAAAACUAAAGUGUAAUAUUAUGUCAUGCAACCUUGAGAAAAUUACAAUGGACAAAGCAGAACUAUAAUUCACAAUUCAUCUCCCAAACAAAUUGUGACACCCCUUCUUUCCAAUCCACUGAAAUAUGCCUAAAAUGAGAAAAAAGGGAAAUCUUAAAAACAACAACAACAACAACAAAGAAAAAACAGAAAACGGCAACAUUCAGGCAAAAAAGAAUGUGAGGACUAUGAUGCUGGCAUGCUAAACUUAAUUAAUAAUAAAUGAGAGAGUUUGGAAUGAUUAUAUGUGAAUGAGUUUCAAUCCUGAUAUCUUUUCCCUUCAUUUUUUCACCUCAAAGACCUAGUCCAUCAGCAUCUUUUAUUACUAUCAUCAGCCUUCCAGAGCCUCUGCCAAGAUGUCUGCUGCCUGGAGCCCAUGGGUAUAUGUCCCAAUUAGUCAUAGCCCAGGGUCAAAUGUGUCAUUCCAGAGAGCCAACA